ACGGUCCUAAGGUAGCGAAAUUCCUUGUCGGGUAAGUUCCGACCUGCACGAAUGGCAUAACGAUGGCCACACUGUCUCCUCCUGAGACUCAGUGAAGUUGAAGUGUUUGUGAUGAUGCAAUCUCCCCGCGGCUAGACGGAAAGACCCCAUGAACCUUUACUGCAGCUUUGCAUUGGACUUUGAACCGAUCUGUGUAGGAUAGGCGGGAGCCUGUGAAACCACAACGCCAGUUGUGGCGGAGGCGUCCUUGAAAUACCGCCCUGAUUUGUUUGAGGUUCUAACCUGGGACAGUCAUCCUGUCCGGGGACCGUGCAUGGUAGGCAGUUUGACUGGGGCGGUCUCCUCCUAAAGGGUAACGGAGGAGUGCGAAGGUACGCUAGGCACGGUCGGAAAUCGUGCUGAUAGUGCAAUGGCAAAAGCGUGCUUGACUGCGAGACCCACAAGUCGAGCAGAUACGAAAGUAGGUCAUAGUGAUCCGGUGGCUCUGCAUGGAAGGGCCAUCGCUCAACGGAUAAAAGGUACUCUGGGGAUAACAGGCUGAUACCGCCCAAGAGUUCAUAUCGACGGCGGUGUUUGGCACCUCGAUGUCGGCUCAUCUCAUCCUGGGGCUGUAGCCGGUCCCAAGGGUAUGGCUGUUCGCCAUUUAAAGAGGUACGUGAGCUGGGUUUAAAACGUCGUGAGACAGUUUUGUCCCUAUCUGCCGUGGGCGCUGGAAGAUUGACGGGGGCUGCUCCUAGUACGAGAGGACCGGAGUGGACUCACCUCUGGUGUACCGGUUGUCACGCCAGUGGCACCGCCGGGUAGCUAUGUGGGGAAAGGAUAACCGCUGAAAGCAUCUAAGCGGGAAACCUGCCUGAAGAUAAGUCUUCCUGGAGGCUUGACCUCCCUGAAGAGUCGUUCGAGACCAGGACGUUGAUAGGUCGGGUGUGCAAGCGCUGCGAGGCGUUGAGCUGACCGAUACUAAUUGCUCGUGAAGCUUGAUCCU
rnacentral:rRNA from 1 species